rnacentral:rRNA from 1 species
CCUACGGGAGGCAGCAGUGAGGAAUAUUGGUCAAUGGACGAGAGUCUGAACCAGCCAAGUAGCGUGAAGGAUGACUGCCCUAUGGGUUGUAAACUUCUUUUAUAUGGGAAUAAAAUGUUCCACGUGUGGGAUUUUGUAUGUACCAUAUGAAUAAGGAUCGGCUAACUCCGUGCCAGCAGCCGCGGUAAUACGGAGGAUCCGAGCGUUAUCCGGAUUUAUUGGGUUUAAAGGGAGCGUAGGUGGAUUUUUAAGUCAGUUGUGAAAGUUUGCGGCUCAACCGUAAAACUGCAGUUGAAACUGGCAGUCUGGAGUAGAGUAGAGGUGGGCGGAAUUCGUGGUGUAGCGGUGAAAUGCUUAGAUAUCACGAAGAACUCCGAUUGCGAAGGCAGUUCACGGGACUGCAACUGACACUGAGGCUCGAAAGUGUGGGUAUCAAACAGGAUUAGAUACCCCAGUGUC